GGGCAGGUGGCGGAACUGGCAGACGCAACGGACUUAAAAUCCGUCGGCCGCAAGGCCAUGCGGGUUCGAGUCCCGCCCUGCCCA
rnacentral:tRNA from 1 species